GACGAACGCUGGCGGCGUGCUUAACACAUGCAAGUCGAACGCUGAAGCUUGGUGCUUGCACUGGGUGGAUGAGUGGCGAACGGGUGAGUAAUACGUGAGUAACCUGCCCUUGACUCUGGGAUAAGCCUGGGAAACUGGGUCUAAUACUGGAUACGACAUGCCACUGCAUGGUGGUGUGUGGAAAGGGUGUUACUGGUUUUGGAUGGGCUCACGGCCUAUCAGCUUGUUGGUGGGGUAAUGGCCUACCAAGGCGACGACGGGUAGCCGGCCUGAGAGGGUGACCGGCCACACUGGGACUGAGACACGGCCCAGACUCCUACGGGAGGCAGCAGUGGGGAAUAUUGCACAAUGGGCGGAAGCCUGAUGCAGCGACGCCGCGUGAGGGAUGACGGCCUUCGGGUUGUAAACCUCUUUCAGCACGGAAGAAGCGAGAGUGACGGUACGUGCAGAAGAAGCGCCGGCUAACUACGUG
rnacentral:rRNA from 1 species